rnacentral:rRNA from 1 species
CCUACGGGAGGCAGCAGUGGGGAAUAUUGGACAAUGGGGCAACCCUGAUCCAGCCAUGCCGCGUGUGUGAAGAAGGCCCUCGGGUUGUAAAGCACUUUCAGUGAGGAAGAACGCCUGGUGGUUAAUACCCAUCAGGAAAGACAUCACUCACAGAAGAAGCACCGGCUAACUCCGUGCCAGCAGCCGCGGUAAUACGGAGGGUGCGAGCGUUAAUCGGAAUUACUGGGCGUAAAGCGCGCGUAGGUGGCUUGAUAAGCCGGUUGUGAAAGCCCCGGGCUCAACCUGGGAACGGCAUCCGGAACUGUCAAGCUAGAGUGCAGGAGAGGAAGGUAGAAUUCCCGGUGUAGCGGUGAAAUGCGUAGAGAUCGGGAGGAAUACCAGUGGCGAAGGCGGCCUUCUGGACUGACACUGACACUGAGGUGCGAAAGCGUGGGUAGCAAACAGGAUUAGAUACCCUAGUAGUC